AUACGGAGGACGCGAGCGUUAUCCGGAUUCAUUGGGUUUAAAGGGUGCGCAGGCGGCCGUGCAAGUCAGCGGUGAAAGCCCGGGGCUCAACCCCGGAAGUGCCGUUGAUACUGCGUGGCUGGAAUGCGGUCGAGGCGGGCGGAACGUGGCGUGUAGCGGUGAAAUGCGUAGAUAUGCCACAGAACGCCGAUAGCGGAGGCAGCUCGCCAGGCCUGCAUUGACGCUCGGGCACGAAAGCGUGGGGAUCGAACAGGAUUAGAUACCCUGGUAGUCCACGCCGUAAACGAUGGGCGCUCGUCGUCGGCGACAGACAGUCGGCGGCCAAGCGAAAGCGAUAAGCGCCCCACCUGGGGAGUACGGUCGCAAGGCUGAAACUCAAAUGAAUUGACGGGG
rnacentral:rRNA from 1 species